AUUGAACGCUGGCGGCAGGCCUAACACAUGCAAGUCGAACGGCAGCACAGAAGAGCUUGCUCUUUGGGUGGCGAGUGGCGGACGGGUGAGUAAUGUCUGGGAAACUGCCCGAUGGAGGGGGAUAACUACUGGAAACGGUAGCUAAUACCGCAUAACGUCGCAAGACCAAAGUGGGGGACCUUCGGGCCUCACACCAUCGGAUGUGCCCAGAUGGGAUUAGCUAGUAGGUGGGGUAAUGGCUCACCUAGGCGACGAUCCCUAGCUGGUCUGAGAGGAUGACCAGCCAACCUGGAACUGAGACACGGUCCAGACGCCUACGGGAGGCAGCAGUGGGGAAUAUUGCACAAUGGGCGCAAGCCUGAUGCAGCCAUGCCGCGUGUAUGAAGAAGGCCUUCGGGUUGUAAAGUACUUUCAGCGGGGAGGAAGGCGGUGAGGUUAAUAACCUUGCCGAUUGACGUUACCCGCAGAAGAAGCACCGGCUAACUCCGUGCCAGCAGCCGCCGUAA
rnacentral:rRNA from 1 species